UACAGAGGUCUCAAGCGUUGUUCGGAUUCAUUGGGCGUAAAGGGUGCGUAGGCGGCGCGGUAAGUCGGGUGUGAAAUUUCGAGGCUUAACUUCGAAACUGCAUUCGAUACUGCCGUGCUUGAGGACUGGAGAGGAGACUGGAAUUUACGGUGUAGCAGUGAAAUGCGUAGAUAUCGUAAGGAAGACCAGUGGCGAAGGCGGGUCUCUGGGCAUUAACUGACGCUGAGGAGCGAAAGCAUGGGGAGCGAACAGG
rnacentral:rRNA from 1 species